rnacentral:rRNA from 1 species
GACGAACGCUGGCGGCGUGCUUAACACAUGCAAGUCGAACGGAAAGGCCCUGCUUUUGUGGGGUGCUCGAGUGGCGAACGGGUGAGUAACACGUGAGUAACCUGCCCUUGACUUUGGGAUAACUUCAGGAAACUGGGGCUAAUACCGGAUAGGAGCUCCUGCUGCAUGGUGGGGGUUGGAAAGUUUCGGCGGUUGGGGAUGGACUCGCGGCUUAUCAGCUUGUUGGUGGGGUAGUGGCUUACCAAGGCUUUGACGGGUAGCCGGCCUGAGAGGGUGACCGGCCCAUUUGGGAAUUGGAUACGGCCCAGACCCCUACGGGGGGCAGGAGUGGGGAAUUUUGAACCAGGGGGGGAAGCCUGAUCCAGCACCGCCGGGGGGGGGGUGGCGGCCUUGGGGUUGGAAACCGCUUUCCCCUGUGACGAAGGGGGAGUGGCGGUAAUGGGUAAAGGAGCACCGGCUAACUACGU